rnacentral:rRNA from 1 species
AACUUUUAGCAAUGGAUCUCUUGGUUCUCGCAUCGAUGAAGAACGUAGCAAAUUGCGAUAAUUAGUGUGAAUUGCAGAUUCAGUGAAUCAUCGAGUUUUUGAACGCAUCUUGCACCGUUGUGGUAUUCCACACGGUACGCCUGUUUCAGUA